GACUUGUUUACCAAAAACAUAGCCCUAGAUAAUAUCUAAGGUGUAACCUGCCCAAUGGUCUUAAAAUUAAAAUUAAUAAAAGUUAUUUAAUAAGAUUUAAAGGACGCAGUAACCUUGACUGUGAUAAUGUAGCGUAAUCACUCGCCAUUUAAUUGAUGGAUAGUAUGAAUGGUUGAACGAAUAUUCCACUGUCUUAAAAAGAAGUACUAAUAAAUUGAAAUAAUAGUUAAGAUGCUAUAUAAAGUUGUAAGACGAAAAGACCCUAUAGAGCUUAACUAUAAUCUCUCAUUCACUAAAGAAAAUAAAUUUUAAGAUCUGAGAGAUUGGUAGUUUAGUUGGGGCGACUGUCUUCUAGAAUAAACGAAGGCAAGCAAAGUUAAUAGAAAAACUUAUUGUAUAAUCUAUAAAUUUAACAAUUACAAAAGUAGGCUAUAAUGACCCGUUAUGAAUUUAUAAAAAUCAUAACGAUCAAUAAAUAAAAGCUACCUUAGGGAUAACAGGAUAAUUUUAUUUUAGAGAUCAUAUCGAAAAUAAAGUUUGUCACCUCG
rnacentral:rRNA from 1 species